rnacentral:rRNA from 1 species
UACGAAGGGGGCUAGCGUUGCUCGGAAUCACUGGGCGUAAAGCGCACGUAGGCGGCUUUCUAAGUCAGGGGUGAAAUCCUGGAGCUCAACUCCAGAACUGCCUUCGAUACUGGCGAUCUUGAGUCUGGGAGAGGUGAGUGGAACUCCGAGUGUAGAGGUGAAAUUCGUAGAUAUUCGGAAGAACACCAGUGGCGAAGGCGGCUCACUGGCCCGGUACUGACGCUGAGGUGCGAAAGCGUGGGGAGCAAACAGG